rnacentral:tRNA from 1 species
GUUUUAAUAGCUUAUUUAGAGUAUAAUAUUGAAGAUAUUAUGGAGAAAUUUUUCUUAAAAUA